CAACCAUCAAGCACAGCUUGGCAAUGGACGACGUCUCCCCGCUCCCGGGGAGGCGCGCCCCGAAACCGUCGGCAGAUUCACGCGGACCCGCCGGGCGUAGCAGAAAAGGAAGGCUCACGCCGACCCCUGACGUCCAAUGCGACCGCGCCUCGCGCCGUAAAACCAAUGGCCCGCAAGGGCCGUCUCCACAA
rnacentral:misc_RNA from 1 species